GUAGGGUGCGAGCGUUAAUCGGAAUUACUGGGCGUAAAGCGUGCGCAGGCGGUUUUGUAAGUCAGAUGUGAAAGCCCCGGGCUUAACCUGGGAAUGGCGUUUGAAACUACAAGGCUAGAGUGUGUCAGAGGGGGGUAGAAUUCCACGUGUAGCAGUGAAAUGCGUAGAGAUGUGGAGGAAUACCGAUGGCGAAGGCAGCCCCCUGGGAUAACACUGACGCUCAUGCACGAAAGCGUGGGGAGCAAACAGGAUUAGAUACCCUGGUAGUCCACGCCCUAAACGAUGUCAACUAGUUGUCGGGAGGGUAACCCUCUUGGUAACGCAGCUAACGCGUGAAGUUGACCGCCUGGGGAGUACGGUCGCAAGAUUA
rnacentral:rRNA from 1 species